rnacentral:rRNA from 1 species
UCCGUAGGCGGGUAAUUAAGUCAGAGGUGAAAUCCCACAGCUUAACUGUGGAACUGCCUUAGAUACUGGUUAUCUUGAGUUUUAGUGAAGUAGAUAGAAUGUGUAGUGUAGCGGUGAAAUGCAUAGAUAUUACACAGAAUACCGAUUGCGAAGGCAGUCUACCAACUAACAACUGACGCUAAUGGACGAAAGCGUGGGGAGCGAACAGGAUUAGAUACCCUGGUAGUCC